UACGUAGGGACCAAGCGUUUGUUCGGAUUUACUGGGCGUAAAGGGCGCGUAGGCGGCGCGGUAAGUCACUUGUGAAAUCUCUGAGCUUAACUCAGAACGGCCAAGUGAUACUGCAGUGCUAGAGUGUGGAAGGGGCAAUCGGAAUUCUUGGUGUAGCGGUGAAAUGCGUAGAUAUCGAGAGGAACACCUGCGGCGAAGGCGGGUAGCUGGGCCGACACUGACGCUGAUGCGCGAAAGCCAGGGGAGCGAACAGG
rnacentral:rRNA from 1 species